rnacentral:lncRNA from 1 species
AUGCUAUUAACUAAUGUAAUGUUUGCGCUUCGCCACUACAACAGAAUUAGGUUAUAGCGACACAUGUUUGGGACACUUUUGUAUAAGUGUCAUAUUUAUGCCAAAACUUAAAAAAAUCCUACUAAUGCCUAAAUAUAAAGUCCAAUCCAACUAAAAAUAAAAGGGUACUCUACUCAACCCACUCUACUUAGCCCAUUCGGUCCGAUUACAAACAGAAAAGAAAAAGAAAAUUCGAUUAUCAUUUUCCCUUCUCCCCUCACUCAAUCGACUGAAAUCCUAGACGAAAAUUAUUUCCUCUUGUCCUCCUCCGCCACCGUAGCCAACGAGGUAGAGUUGUAGUGCGCAGCGGGAGCUAAUAAUACAAUUAUUUCAUUAUAUUUAUUUAUCAGAAAGUAUAGAAAUACAUAUUACAUUCAAAUUAUGUAAGGUAAUUAAAUAUAUAAUAUAGAUUAUCUAAUAUGAUAUAAUCUCAUUUAUAAUCCAAAUAUAAAUGAUAAAACAGUUUUUUUGUAAUUUUCUUAAUGCCCAUUAAUA